UACAGGGGGUGCAAACGUUGCUCGGAAUCAUUGGGCGUAAAGCGCACGUAGGCGGUCUGUUAUGUCGGAUGUGAAAGCCCUUGGCUCAACUGAGGAAGUGCAUCCGAAACUGGCAGGCUAGAGUACUAAAGAGGGUCGCGGAAUUCACGGUGUAGAGGUGAAAUUCGUAGAUAUCGGGAGGAACACCGGUGGCGAAGGCGGCGACCUGGGUAGAUACUGACGCUGAGGUGCGAAAGCGUGGGGAGCAAACAGG
rnacentral:rRNA from 1 species